AGUGAACGCUGGCGGUAGGCCUAACACAUGCAAGUCGAACGGCAGCACAGUAAGAGCUUGCUCUUACGGGUGGCGAGUGGCGGACGGGUGAGGAAUACAUCGGAAUCUACUUUUUCGUGGGGGAUAACGUAGGGAAACUUACGCUAAUACCGCAUACGACCUACGGGUGAAAGCAGGGGAGCUUCGGACCUUGCGCGAUUGAAUGAGCCGAUGUCGGAUUAGCUAGUUGGCGGGGUAAAGGCCCACCAAGGCGACGAUCCGUAGCUGGUCUGAGAGGAUGAUCAGCGACACUGGAACUGAGACACGGUCCCGACUCCUACGGGAGGCAGCAGUGGGGAAUAUUGGACAAUGGGCGCAAGCCUGAUCCAGCCAUACCGCGUGGGUGAAGAAGGCCUUCGGGUUGUAAAGCCCUUUUGUUGGGAAAGAAAAGCAGCAGGUUAAUACCCCGCUGUUCUGACGGUACCCAAAGAAUAAGCACCGGCUAACUUCGUG
rnacentral:rRNA from 1 species